rnacentral:rRNA from 1 species
UACGUAGGUGACAAGCGUUGUCCGGAUUUACUGGGCGUAAAGAGCGCGCAGGCGGUCGUUCAAGUCGAGCGUGAAAGCCCCCGGCUCAACUGGGGAGGGUCAUUCGAUACUGAUCGACUCGAAGGCAGGAGAGGGAAGUGGAAUUCCCGGUGUAGUGGUGAAAUGCGUAGAUAUCGGGAGGAACACCAGUGGCGAAGGCGACUUCCUGGCCUGUUCUUGACGCUGAGGCGCGAAAGCUAGGGGAGCAAACGGG